AAGUGUAAAGUUAUGAUGUUGACUGACUGUUGUGAGGUGUGACGUGUGCAGUUUAAGCCCGCAGCUUUCCCUAAACAAUAAAUCACCUUUUGUGGUCCAAGAUGGCGGACUAUCUGUCCAGGGCAUGCAGACUCCAGCUAACCACAGCCAUGGAGAACCUGGUAAGGACUGCAGUGUUGGAGAUUUCGCAGAUCUUUGAGGAUAGCUUACAUGAUCAUCAGGUGGAGCUCGCACGUAAAGGAGAAGAGAUUGCUCAUCUGAAAGUGAAGCUGCAGCGAGUUGAGCUGAAGCUCAAAGACAUGUCAGCACAAAGUGCAACUGACACGAGCUUUACACAGAUUUAUGAAACUUCACCAAAGUCAGAAGAACCUGCACCUGAAAAAUCCACUGACCCUGAAAUUGAUUUUGAAGUAACUGAUGACUGGUGUGUUCCUCUGGACUCUGAGAAUGUGGUCAAACAAGACAUUCCUUGCCCAAGUGUUCGACUAAAACAAUUUUCUAUUCCUCUGUGGCCCAUUUCUUUACAGCAUGAGGCUUUUCUGAAAAUCCCAAAAGUAAGGCUUAGACCACGUCAAAACAGAGAUAAUAAAGAUUUACAUGAAAAAAUCAAGCCCAAAGGCCAGUCAAAGCGUGGCCGACCAAGGAUCCGUCCUCUGGAAAAGGACAGAUUUAAAGAUGUGCUAGUGAAUAUUAAAGAAGAACCCUCCGACUAUGAAGUAAAGCCACCCAUACAAA
ensembl:lncRNA